CUGGAACUUAAUUCUAUCAUUAACGUGUUGUCAUUUUCUUCGUUUCAUUUUCGCUCUUUUUUUAUUGUUCAAUUAAUUUUCACUGGAACUUAAUUCUAUCAUUAACGUGUUGUCAUUUUCUUCGUUUCAUUUUCGCUCUUUUUUUGUUCUUCCUGAAUCAAAAUUUUUUAGAACUCAUUGAAUUCAAUUCUAGGUAAAAAGUUUUUCAAGAGCUAUAAGAAUCAACUAAUUUACAAAAACUCGAUCUUUAGUUGGAACGAAAAAU
rnacentral:misc_RNA from 1 species